CAAAAUCAGAAUUACUUUAUGAAAUUGUUAUGGUUACAUUUAAGAUAACCAGUAAAACAAAAAAAAAAUCAUGCAAGGAAAACAGCCACACAAUCAAGGAAAAGACAUCAAAACCAAAUAUCAGUGUCAAGACUUUAAAUACAUCUUAAACCAUGAAAUGAGCAAAGACGUGUGCAGCUACAAAAGAAAGAUAUUCUUACUGCAAGUAAAUUCCAGAUUUAAGUUAUUCUCACCAUGCCCUUUAUCAGUAACUACAGAGAAGAGUUUAAAAGGUACAUAUUUUUAUUAUUAGCAUCUGAACUAAUGCAAGAACUAAAAUUGUAGCUGACAGUCUUAUUUCCCAGUGCAAAUAAUUGUGAAAGAAAACUAGAAAACCCAAAGUUCAUGGAAGGCCAUUUUUUGAGCUUGUGCUUCAGUUAUGUUAAGCUUUUUUUAUGAAAAGGUGUUGCUACAUAACAUCCAAGAAAAAGAAUAACUGCCCAAUUGAUAUGAUUGUACAUGCUAAAUGGAUUCAUUACAAAUUAACAUACAGUAAUUAACAAAAGACUGUCCUGAAUUCACCGACACUAAAGCUAUUCACAAUAGCAUAUAAAAUGGAAA